rnacentral:misc_RNA from 1 species
UUUCCGUAGGUGAACCUGCGGAAGGAUCAUUAUUGUAUAACCGAGGUGCGAGGGCUGUCGCUGACCCGAAAGGUCUCGAACGCCCGCCUGCCCUCCCACACAUCCAUCUCACCCCUCUGUGCACCACCGCGUGGGUCCCCCUUUGGCGUGUUCGGAGGGGGGCUUACGUUUUCACACAAACUUUGUAUGCAGUGUAGAAUGUAUGUUUUGUGUUUGCGAUCACGCAAUAAAUACAACUUUCAACAACGGAUCUCUUGGCUCUC